rnacentral:rRNA from 1 species
AAGGAUUGAAGAUUUAUCUGAUUGAGAUUUUAUAACAAUGGCUUUAGUGGCGGACUGGUGAGUAACGCGUGAGCAACCUGCCUACUAGAGGGGAAUAACAGUGAGAAAUCAUUGCUAAUACCGCAUAUGCCAUGAACAUCACAUGAUGAAAAUGGGAAAAGAGUAAUCUGCUAGUAGAUGGGCUCGCGUCUGAUUAGAUAGUUGGCGGGGUAACGGCCUACCAAGUCGACGAUCAGUAGCCGGACUGAGAGGUUGAACGGCCACAUUGGGACUGAGAUACGGCCCAGACUCCUACGGGAGGCAGCAGUCGGGAAUAUUGCGCAAUGGAGGAAACUCUGACGCAGUGACGCCGCGUAUAGGAAGAAGGUUUUCGGAUUGUAAACUAUUGUCGUUAGGGAAGAUACAAGACAGUACCUAAGGAGGAAGCUCCGGCUAACUACGUGCCAGCAGCCGCGGUAAUACGUAGGGAGCAAGCGUUAUCCGGAUUUAUUGGGUGUAAAGGGUGCGUAGACGGGACAACAAGUUAGUUGUGAAAUCCCUCGGCUUAACUGAGGAACUGCAACUAAAACUAUUGUUCUUGAGUGUUGGAGAGGAAAGUGGAAUUCCUAGUGUAGCGGUGAAAUGCGUAGAUAUUAGGAGGAA